GAUGAACGCUGGCGGCGUGCCUAAUACAUGCAAGUCGAGCGAACAGACGAGGAGCUUGCUCCUCUGACGUUAGCGGCGGACGGGUGAGUAACACGUGGAUAACCUACCUAUAAGACUGGGAUAACUUCGGGAAACCGGAGCUAAUACCGGAUAAUAUAUUGAACCGCAUGGUUCAAUAGUGAAAGACGGUUUUGCUGUCACUUAUAGAUGGUUCCGCGCCGCAUUAGCUAGUUGGUAAGGUAACGGCUUACCAAGGCAACGAUGCGUAGCCGACCUGAGAGGGUGAUCGGCCACACUGGAACUGAGACAGGGACCAGACUCCUACGGGAGGGAGCAGUAGGGAAUCUUACGCAAUGGGCGAAAGCCUGACGGAGCAACGCCGCGUGAGUGAUGAAGGUCUUCGGAUCGUAAAACUCUGUUAUUAGGGAAGAACAAAUGUGUAAGUAACUAUGCACGUCUUGACGGUACCGAAUCAGAAAGCCACGGCUAACUACGUG
rnacentral:rRNA from 1 species